GACGAACGCUGGCGGCGUGCUUAACACAUGCAAGUCGAACGAUGAAGAAGAGAAACGCGAACUUCGGUUCAAAUUUCACUUCGGAUUAGUGGCAGACGGGUGAGUAACGCGUGAGCAACCUACCUCUUACAAAGGGAUAGCCUCGGGAAACCGUGAUUAAUACCAUAUGACACAUUCAUAAGGCAUCUUAAGAAUGUUAAAGCUACGGCGGUAAGAGAUGGGCUCGCGUCCCAUUAGCUAGUUGGUGAGGUAACGGCCCACCAAGGCGACGAUGGGUAACCGGGCUGAGAGGGUGACCGGUCACAUUGGAACUGAGACACGGUCCAAACUCCUACGGGAGGCAGCAGUGGGGAAUAUUGCACAAUGGAGGGAACUCUGAUGCAGCGACGCCGCGUGAGCGAUGAAGGAAUUCGUUUCGUAAAGCUCUGUUCUAUGGGAAGAAAAGGACUGUACCAUAGGAGAAAGCCCCGGCUAAAUACGUG
rnacentral:rRNA from 1 species